UGAAAGAGAACAUUAAUUAAUCUGUCACAGUAUCAUUCUGCUACAUAGAGGUGCCUCUUGAAGCCACUGAGUAGAGUAGCCUGCAUGUCCCAGUAUGCUAAGAGAGAAUCAGGACAGCCGGAGGGAUAAGUGCUUCUGACCUUCUGGUUUCUGUGGAGUUUCCAGUGUCUCCCAAGGGCAGUGUGACAGCGCUGGUUAGAUAUAUGCUGAUCAUCCCCUUGGAGCUGGCAGUACAAGGUGUAGGAGUUUCUCCUGGGAAGAGCAUUCUCCAAGUUCUCAACCUCAUAUCUGCGAACAUGUUGACCAAACUGUUGCUCAUACCACAUUAUUCAUCCCAUACGUGCAGUUGUACAUUUUCUUCAGUAUGAUUUUUAUGCCUUUAUUGAGGGAGCUUAUAAAGUUGAAUUAGGCAUACAUUUUUAAAGUUCAGUAUAAUUUGUUUAAGCCACUGACACUUUCAUUUUGCCAAUGUCAUUGGUAUAAAUGAACUUGUAUUUAUUUAAUCAGCCGUUACAUGUUUUCAUGAUACUCUUAGUGUUUUUUGUUUUAUAUCUACAGUGUGUGGGGCCAUGAGAUGCAUGAAUAUUGUUUUAUUAUAUAUAUUUUUUUCUGCUUCAUAUACUUUCAUGAUGUUUUAUAUGUUUUACCAGAAGAUUUCUUCCUUGAGUGUUUAUGUCUGAGUAUUAGUUUCCUCAAAACAUAUAUAACCUCCAAAACUUUGUUAAAGGAUAGUAUUAGUUAUUCCUUUUACUUCUGUUUCCUGUAACUUUAUAUCAACUCUUAGCUUAUACUUUUUAAAAAUAGACUUUCUAUUUUUUAGCAAUUUUAUGUUCACAGCAAACUUGAUGGAAGGUACUAGAUUUCCUGUAUACUCUGUGCCCCCACACGUGCACAGCGUCUUCCCCCAUUAUCACCAUCCCCCAUCACAGUGGUACAUUUGUUACAAUUGAUAAACCUACAUUGACACAUCAUUAUCACCCAAAGUCCAUAGUCGAUGUUGGGGUUCACUCUAUGUAUAUGCUUUGGGCAAAUAUAUAAUAGACAUAUAUCCUCCAUAAUAGUAUCUUACAGAAUAAUUACACUGCCCUAAAAAAUCUGUGCUCUGUCUGUUCAUCUCUCCCUCCCCCCAGCACCUGGCAACCACUGAUCUCUUUACUGUCUCCAUAGAUUUGCCUUUUUCAGAAUGUCAUAGAGUUGGAACCAUAUAGUAUAUGGCCUUUUCGCAUUGGCUUCUUUCACUUAAUAAUAUGCAUUUAAAUUUCUAGGGCCGGGCGCGGUGGCUCCCGCCUGUAAUCCCAGCACUUUGGGAGGCCGAGGCGGGCGGAUCACGAGGUCAGGAGAUCAAGACGAUCCUGGCUAACACGGUGAAACCCCGUCUCUACUAAAAAUACAAAAAAUAAGCCAGGCGUGGUGGCGGGCGCCUGUAGUUCCAGCUACUCAGGAGGCUGAGGCAGGAGAAUGGCGUGAACCUGGGAGGCAGAGGUUGUGAUGAGCCGAGACCACGCCACUGCACUCCAGCCUGGGCAACAGAGCGAGACUCCAUCUCAAAAAAUAGAUAAAUAAAAUAAAUUUCUUCCAUGUCUUUUUAUAGCUUGACAGCUCAUUUCUUUUUAGCACAGAAUAACAUCCCUUCAUUGCACACACUGUGUAAAGAAUGACUCCUGCUUAUACACAGGACAGCUUACUCAGGACAGCAGCAUGAUCUGGUCACUGUCUAAACAACUUGUGCAAGAUAAGGUGACUUAAAUGUUAUCUGAGAGCAGUGGUGCUGUCACACUAUAGGUGACACAGCUCAGGUCCCAUAUCUGCCUUGAAACAUUUCUUCCUACACUCCUUGUAUUUGCUGUGACUUAUAAUCCGUGCUGCCCUGGGUGGCCAGUGGUGCUUAAUGCUGUGAACAUGGCAUCUUAGCCCGCACACACAGGUUCAGAUUCUGGCUUUCAGAUGUGCUUUCUCUGUGAGUUAGGGAUAGAUAUGUAAACCUCUUCAGCCCUUUGUUUUGGUAUGAAAAGGUGCGAUAAUUUACCUCAAGAGGAUUUACAUCAAUUAGUGCUGUUAGAGACCUUAGUAACUUGCAUAGCAUUUAGUAUGCUUUGAAAAGUUACCUUUAUGAAUAAGAUAUGUCAAGUGUCUGUCAUGUUUCUUAUGAGAUUGACCUUUGCCUGCAUUAUAUCUUACAUAUUUUCUUUUUUGUAAUUUUUUUUUUCAUAUCAACAUUUUCUCUGACUCUACAUAAUAAAAUGUUAAAGCACACAGCUUUCAUUAUAUGUAUUUUUUGGCCAUAGAACUGGAAAACUAGAUGACAUUUCCUAGUCAGGGAGUUUCUCUAUAUACUGCUGUCAUAUAACUGCAGGCAUGAAAUUAUUUCAAACUCCCCUCCUAAUUCUUCAUCUUUAUAGUAAUGUGCAUUUACCUGAAGCUGAUAUUUCAAAAUUUAGUGAUUCUCAACAUAUUAUUUUUCCUAUUGUGUGUCCCUUCUGUUUUUUCUGUUGUUCAUAAGCAGUAAUUCUUUAGAAUUUCACUGACAAUUUUGUAAUUGUGGUUGUUCAUUAACUUGCCUGUUAGAUUUUCACAGGUUACUAAAGUGUUUUAUUUAUUUUUAUAAUGAUUUACAGAUGAUGGUUUUUCAGUAUAUAUUAUGCGAUAGAACCACCAUGCACAAAUUGUUAAUGCUGCAAAAUGCACAUUCUACAUGGGUGUAAGUAGUUUUAUAACAAGUACUCACAUUUGCAAUUUGUAAAUAUUCAAAAUUUUAUUAAAUUCUUCCGAAUUUUUUCUUUCAGUGUUUUGUUUGCAAUUAUGAAUUGUCUUUUUUAAAUAUUUUUUAUUAGAUAAGCUUGAGCUGUGCCUUACCUUUUGUGUGUAAUAAUUAUGUACUAAAUAAUGCAUUACUAUUUGUUUAUCUUCAAAUAUGAGACUACCAUAUAGCUAUGCCAACUUACAUGUUCCUUGGAGUGGUGGUGGAAAAAUACCUCUUCUUUCAGAGUUUAUGUGGAUUUACAUAGUAUGAGUGUUUUAGCUAUAGGGUGUUUUAAACUGUGCUUAAAAUAAUUUGUUACAUGUUUUGUUACCAUGUUACUUUAUUGAGGACAGCUAGUCCCUUUGUGUUGUUAAACGUUUAAAGACAGUUGAGAAGCUUCAUAACUCUGUUCAUUGUAAAUCUUAGCUUUCUUGUAAUAUGUAUUUUAAUAAAAUAUUUACCUUGCAACUCC
rnacentral:sRNA from 1 species